AUGAUUUGGGCUUUCCCAUUUUGUCAAACACUCUAUAAUUAUGGAGUCAAUUAUGAUUGAUGAUAAAUAACAAGAAAGCCAAGAAAAAUCAAAGGCAAUGAUAUUGCUUGUGAAACAAUAUUUUGAAGUUUCCUCGACAAUCAUUUAGAUAUACACCAUUGAUACUGGCAGCAGCUUCCUUGGAAGAUAUCCUAAAGCAGCAACAAUUGUAUUUUUUUUUCAGAGUUACAUUGGGUCUUAAUUAAAUUUAUAAUUGAGUCAAGUCAAACUCUUAAACAAGAGUAAAAUUAUAUAUAUAUUUCAUCUAUAAUAUUCAUACCUGAUACCUUUCUUAAGGGGUAUCAAAUUUCUUGUCACUCGACCUAGCAAGUGUUGAUUAAGCAGUAAAAAAGUUGUCCAAAAGCAGUGGAAGCUUGAUCAUGGCCUACACGGCUAAACCACACACCAUGCAAUGUCCCCUUGCCUCCCAAUGCAAGCGACCCCAUGAACUCAUUUUCUCCCCAUCUUUAAAACCACACAACACUUACAACAACAUAAAAACAUGCAGUAAUUGUUAGUUUUUUUCCUUUUUUUUUU
rnacentral:lncRNA from 1 species